rnacentral:lncRNA from 12 species
GGAGGAGGAGGAUUUGAUGGUCUGAAGGUGGAUCAGUUUCAUCGCCACAAAAGUCCCUCAGCAUUUUAAUGUCUUUUGUUUCAUUUGGUUUGAUUUCAAAUGCAUCGAUCAGGACAGUAGUGUGUUUUUGUUUCAUCAUGCCUUUCGAUCUGGACUGUGACGCAGCGGCGAACAAAACGAGUCCAGAGGCGGAACAGGAAGUGUGUGAGGUCACACAUGAAGAGAGAGUGACGGACACACCAACACGAAGAGUUGGACGACCCGCUCGAAAACGCAAAGCACCAGGAGAGGAUAGUUGUGGGCGUGUGAUUGAGGGCGUGACCUGUAUGAAACAGGCGGGGUGUAACGGUGAAGCAGAGAGUCAGGUUUCACAGAAAAACCUUGAGCCGAAAGACUCCUCCCCUGACUCCACCCCUGACUCCACCCACCAGAACGGCACAGACACGCCCCCCGGUGCGGACGGAGACUCCGCCCCUUCCACUCCACGGAAGAAACGAGGGCGGCGGAAACUCAAGCACUCGGAGCGACGUGAGUCACCUGUCUAUAGUUCAGUCAGCAUGAUUGAUUUCAUAUGUGAAAUGUGUCAGAAAAUACAAUUCAGAAUGUGAUGAAAGCAAUGGCACGAGGUGCUGUUGCGGCAUACAUUAAUUCUCCAUUUAGAUUCGUCUUUCAGGAACAAUUUAGUAAAUACAGUAUCACACUCUUCAACUGUCAACAUGUUUAUACCUAGCUAGCUGAAUAAUAAAUAUUUGGUUUAAUGGCACAAACAUUUGACAUUAGCUUUAUCGCCCCAUUAAGUACCUCCACAUUAAUGAAGGUUUGCAUCAGUGCGUUGGUCAGGUAUUUUCCAUCUGUGCCCGUUUCUUCUUUUAGCCUUGUUUUCUUCUAAAUGACCUCUGUGUUUGUCUUUCAGACGUUGACGAGGACGACACCAGCAGCGACACCAGCAGAGGAGAUGUAAGGACUCAAAACACAGUAUAGCUUAUUGUCAAAUAAACAACAUAAUAAAAUUCAAUAAAUCACAUUUCUGAAAUUUAUAGGACUAGGGCUGCAUCAUUUAGGCUAAAAUUUAAUUGGAAGGCUUUUUAAACCAAGAAAUUGUGGUUUAUAUCUCAAUAUGAUUAUAUAAUUAUAAUAAUUUUUUAUCUUACUAAAUAAAAAUACUACUAUUGUAAUAUUUCAAAUAUUUACAGUACAGCAGUAAAAUUACAAUCCAUGAAUUAAUUAAUUAAUUAAUUAAUUAAUUAAUUAAUUAAUUUUUUAAUUUGUUCCAAGUUUGCAAUGCUUGUUUAUAGGGCUGCACAAUUUUGCCAAAUUUGA